rnacentral:rRNA from 1 species
GGACCAUCAUGUCGGUCGUGCCUCGGUACGUACUGGUAUUGUUGGUUUCUCCCUUCUGACGAACCAUGAUGUCAUUUAUUUGGUGUUGUGGGGAACCAGGACUUUUACCUUGAAAAAAUUAGAGUGCUUAAAGCAGGCUAGUGCCUGAAUACAUUAGCAUGGAAUAAUGAAAUAGGACGGCAUGGUUCUAUUUUGUUGGUUUCUAGGAUCACCGUA